AAUUCUUCUUUUUUUUAUAGGUCUACUACAUAGUUGAUACUGUAGGACAGGCUACAGAAAUAAGAAAACUGGUCUCUCUCAUCAGCAAUAGUGUGGCAAUUCUAAAAUUUCAACAUGCGGCCUACACAGCUAGCUCAUGUGGAGAAGAGAUAUGAGACUGAUUGCGAAUAAAUGUACACUUAGUUUAGUGCAUCAUGGAUCUACAAAGUGAAACAUAUGUACCAAAAAUAUUAGUUUAUUCAUAACUAAGCCUUUUUCAGCACUGCAGUCAACAGAACAAUGAUAGUGACAAGAAUUGAGACUAUUUAAUACCUCAAACAAUGGGAAAAUACUUCUUGAGAUCAGUUGUAAGUGGUUUUAUAUCAUGCAUGAAACAAUAAACUUAAGUAGUUUUAAAAACUGUUGGAUAAUUCAUACACUGUACCAGACAAACUCACACAAUAAAAUUUAUUAAAUAUGAACACAAUCAUUUUUUUUCUAAUUUUUUUGCAUUCAAAGCAGUUUGACGGCAAAAGACGCAAAUAAUGCUUUAAUAAAUUUGGUCUUACAAAGCCUAUUAAUGUUUUCUUUUGUGCUGUAACCAUAUAAAAUGCAUGUAUUUUUAAUGGUAAAGGACUAUAGAACUCAAUCAGACUAAAAAAAUGGAAUUAUAUUGUUUUCAAUGAGUGGUUAAAGGUGGCAGGUACCAGUUUUGGUGUACCAGAACAUGUGUCCCACGCAGAAAUUUUGUUAUAGUUAAGUAUUGAGGUAUAUAAUUGCAUCAUGUGGACUGAAAAAAUAAAUGAAUGUAAAUUCUAGGCUUCUGUACUACACAAGUAAGUAGUUGCAUACACAGGUUGGGGAUUUCCUUCACAUAUAGGUCCAAUCAGAUGUCAAAAUUGUGGUCUCCUCACUUGACGGCAUCCAAUCAAAGUGGGGAAAAAAUUCAGUUUUAUGUAAACAAAAAUAUCUUGAGAUUUUGAUGGUAAGGAUAGGUUCGGACAAGGCUCUAAUUCACUGAAUAUCCUUUCUCUCUUGAAUUUUGGCUAAAAUUCUUGUCGGCUUUUAGCAGGAUUUUGCAGGUGAGGAUUAGAUUGGUAUCAGAGCAUCACAUUUUUUGCCUUAUUUGCAAUGCAUUUAUAAAUUUUUAAAUUUCCAUGCUGGACAGACACCCAAAUUUAAAGGUUUUCUAUAUAUUAACAUAAGCACGCACACAUCUUAGUUCCUUGAAACCAUACAUUUUAUUUGUAUAUAAGCUUGAAUGAAUUUUCAAGAAAAUAAAAUCAUAAAUCCAUGAAAUUCUAAAGAUUUAUUGUAAAAUAACUGGUUUCUGCCACCUUAAGCCUAAAUGAUUUAAAUAUCACAAAAAGAUUUAUUCUACAGGCUGUUAUUCAGUUUCAAGCAUAUGACAAUAAAAUAUAUCAAAAUUGAUAAUCAUUUGUUGACAGACUGAAAAUAUAUCAAAACAUGAUAUCUUAUAUAGAAAUUUGACAAGAGCUGAAAAAUAAAAUCAAAUACAUAUAGACAGAUAAUCAAGCUUAAUAUUGUACUGACAGAGCUGAAAUGAUAUAUUUCAAAAUGACAUAUAUAGGGACAUAAUUCUUAGGUUUAACUAUGUUGACAGAGCAUGAAAAAUAUAUCAAAAUCAUAUAGGUGUGAGAUAAUCAGUUAAUAUGUCUACAAAGCUGAAAAGUAUAUCAAAAUACAUAUAGAGGGAGAUAAUCAGGGAUAAUAUGUCUGACAGAGCUGAACAAUAUAUCAAAAUACAUAUAGAGGGGAGAUAAUCAGGGCUAAUAUGUCUCAGAGCUGAAAAAUAUAUCCAAAAUACAUUAGUUUAGAUAACUAAGGGGUUUAUUCAUGCAAGCUGAAACAAUAUAUCAAAAUAGAUUAAUAGAGGUUGGAUAAUCAGGGCAAAUAUGUCAUUGACAAGUGGUUUAAAAAUAUAUCAAAUACAUUAAGUAAUAACAGUUGGAUAAUAUUUGACAGACUGAAAAAUAUAUCAAAUUUACAUAUACAUGCUGCAGUACAUAGUAAUAGUUUGUGUAUCUAUAGCAGAGCAAUGUCAAUAUAUGGAACAAAUAAAAUUGAUGAAAAGUAGAAAUCGAUGCAGAAACGAAACUAUUACAAACAUCUGGGAGAGGCUAUACGAUAUAACCAUGUUAAAAAUGCUAAAGGUGGCAGGUACCAGUUUUGGUGUACCAGAACAUGUGUCCCACGCAGAAAUUUUGUUAUAGUUAAGUAUUGAGGUAUAUAAUUGCAUCAUGUGGACUGAAAAAAUAAAUGAAUGUAAAUUCUAGGCUAUUGUACUACACAAGUAAGUAGUUGCAUACACAGGUUGGGGAUUUCCUUCACAUAUAGGUCCAAUCAGAUGUCAAAAUUGUGGUCUCCUCACUUGACGGCAUCCAAUCAAAGUGGGGGAAAAAUUCAGUUUUAUGUAAACAAAAAUAUCUUGAGAUUUUGAUGGUAAGGAUAGGUUCGGACAAGGCUCUAAUUCACUGAAUAUCCUUUCUCUCUUGAAUUUUGGCUAAAAUUCUUGUCGGCUUUUAGCAGGAUUUUGCAGGUGAGGAUUAGAUUGGUAUCAGAGCAUCACAUUUUUUGCCUUAUUUGCAAUGCAUUUAUAAAUUUUUAAAUUUCCAUGCUGGACAGACACCCAAAUUUAAAGGUUUUCUAUAUAUUAACAUAAGCACGCACACAUCUUAGUUCCUUGAAACCAUACAUUUUAUUUGUAUAUAAGCUUGAAUGAAUUUUCAAGAAAAUAAAAUCAUAAAUCCAUGAAAUUCUAAAGAUUUAUUGUAAAAUAACUGGUUUCUGCCACCUUAAGCCUAAACAUGAUUUUAACAUAUCACAAAAUGUGCCUUUUUAAGAGUUCUACAGGUGUGUGGUAAUAUAUUUCUUUUAUUCACAGUCAAUGUAUAGGUCUGUUUGCAAGCAAAUAGUUUUUACAUGGAUUUUAAGAAUUAUCAAAUAUCAAGACAGAUAACUCUGUAUCCCAAUACAAACAAUGACAUUCAAUUGAUUAGUUUUAAAAUGAUUAUGUUCACCAAACAAUGAUUUUAUAUCAUAAAUUAUAUAGAAAUAGCAAUUACAAAGAGAGAAAAAAGUAAAAUAAGCCUCAGCAUAGUACAAGAAAAAGCUGAUUAUACUGUAUAUUACCUGUUAUAAUGAUUUAUUUCAUAUGAUAUGGACAUUUUCUUAUUUAUUUACUUUUUAACUAUGAAUAUAUGAAUUCUUCUUUUUUAUAGGUCUACUACAUAGUUGAUACUGUAGGACAGGCUAUAGAAAUAAGAAAACUGGUCUCUCUCAUCAGCAAUAGUGUGGCAAUUCUAAAAUUUCAACAUGCGGCCUACACAGCUAGCUCAUGUGGAGAAGAGAUAUGAGACUGAUUGCGAAUAAAUGUACACUUAGUUUAGUGCAUCAUGGAUCUACAAAGUGAAACAUAUGUACCAAAAAUAUUAGUUUAUUCAUAACUAAGCCUUUUUCAGCACUGCAGUCAACAGAACAAUGAUAGUGACAAGAAUUGAGACUAUUUAAUACCUCAAACAAUGGGAAAAUACUUCUUGAGAUCAGUUGUAAGUGGUUUUAUAUCAUGCAUGAAACAAUAAACUUAAGUAGUUUUAAAAACUGUUGGAUAAUUCAUACACUGUACCAGAAAACUCACACAAUAAAAUUUAUUAAAUAUGAACACAAUCAUUUUUUUCUAAUUUUUUUGCAUUCAAAGCAGUUUGACGGCAAAAGACGCAAAUAAUGCUUUAAUAAAUUUGGUCUUACAAAGCCUAUUAAUGUUUUCUUUUUGUGCUGUAACCAUAUAAAAUGCAUGUAUUUUUAAUGGUAAAGGACUAUAGAACUCAAUCAGACUAAAAAAAUGGAAUUAUAUUGUUUUCAAUGAGUGGUUAAAGGUGGCAGGUACCAGUUUUGGUGUACCAGAACAUGUGUCCCACGCAGAAAUUUUGUUAUAGUUAAGUAUUGAGGUAUAUAAUUGCAUCAUGUGGACUGAAAAAAUAAAUGAAUGUAAAUUCUAGGCUAUUGUACUACACAAGUAAGUAGUUGCAUACACAGGUUGGGGAUUUCCUUCACAUAUAGGUCCAAUCAGAUGUCAAAAUUGUGGUCUCCUCACUUGACGGCAUCCAAUCAAAGUGGGGGGAAAAUUCAGUUUUAUGUAAACAAAAAUAUCUUGAGAUUUUGAUGGUAAGGAUAGGUUCGGACAAGGCUCUAAUUCACUGAAUAUCCUUUCUCUCUUGAAUUUUGGCUAAAAUUCUUGUCGGCUUUUAGCAGGAUUUUGCAGGUGAGGAUUAGAUUGGUAUCAGAGCAUCACAUUUUUUGCCUUAUUUGCAAUGCAUUUAUAAAUUUUUAAAUUUCCAUGCUGGACAGACACCCAAAUUUAUAGGUUUUCUAUAUAUUAACAUAAGCACGCACACAUCUUAGUUCCUUGAAACCAUACAUUUUAUUUGUAUAUAAGCUUGAAUGAAUUUUCAAGAAAAUAAAAUCAUAAAUCCAUGAAAUUCUAAAGAUUUAUUGUAAAAUAACUG
rnacentral:lncRNA from 1 species